CCCAAGAGAUCGGGAUAACACCUGGAAACAGAUGCUAAUACCGGAUAACAACAGAUGAUGCCUAUCAACUGUUUAAAAGAUGGUUCUGCUAUCACUCUUGGAUGGACCUGCGGUGCAUUAGCUAGUUGGUAGGGUAACGGCCUACCAAGGCGAUGAUGCAUAGCCGAGUUGAGAGACUGAUCGGCCACAUUGGGACUGAGACACGGCCCAAACUCCUACGGGAGGCAGCAGGC
rnacentral:rRNA from 1 species